GCUGGGUGUGGUGGCGCACACUUGUAAUCCCAGCUACCAGGGAGGCUGAGGUGGGAGGAUCGCUUGAACCCAGGAGGUAGAGGUUGCAGUGAGCUGAGAUCAUGUCACUAUACUCCAGCCUGGGCAACAGAGUGAGAAUCCAUCUCAA
rnacentral:SRP_RNA from 1 species